AGUGCGUGUGAGUGAGCGCGAGCGCGGAUACUGUCAGGUAAAGAGCUGCCGUCUCUCGGUGAGUUGCAGGCAAUGCAGGGAACAGAUUUACUGUAGCAAUAUUCCGAGAUGAGAUCCUUUAUACAAACAGAUUAACUAUGUUCACAUAACUUGGAUCCAGCCUUGGAGUUCAUCAGCGAACGUGGGCGAACAGACCACUGGAAUUAACGGGAAGCUCAGUCGUCGUCAGCUGGCCGGGGGAAAAGCCGAUCAUACCACCCGGCUUCCGGGGAUUCAGGGGCCGCAUCGGUUGACGGCAGACGUCGGUCUGUAGCUCGGGGGGGAAGACGGGCGAAUAUUCACAUCAUCGCCGACAUCCACCUCUCCGUUUCAUCCACUUUCGAUAUGUCGAGAAAGCUACAAAGAACAGAAGUCUGCGCUGACUGCAGUGCGCCAGACCCGGGCUGGACCAGUAUCAACCGAGGGGUCCUGAUUUGUGAUGAAUGCUGUUCGGUCCACCGCAGUUUAGGCCGCCAUAUCUCCAUAGUCAAGCACCUGAGGCACAGCGGAUGGCCUCCCUCCCUACUGCAGAUGGUUCAGACCUUGGCCAGUAACGGGGCCAACUCCAUAUGGGAACACAGCCUCCUGGACCCGGCUCAGGUGCAGAGUGGCCGCAGGAAACCGAACCCCCAGGACAAAGUCCAUCCCACCAAGUCAGAGUUCAUCAGAGCCAAAUACCAGAUGCUCGCAUUCGUGCACAAGCUGCCCUGUCGUGAUGACGAUGGCGUCACCACUAAGGAUCUCAGUAAGCAACUUCAUUCAAGCGUGCGGACGGGGAGUUUAGAGACGUGUCUUCGGCUCCUGUCCCUCGGCGCUCAGGCCAACUUCUUCCACCCGGAGAAAGGCACUACCCCACUUCAUGUGGCAGCCAAGGCAGGCCAGAUCUUGCAGGCUGAGCUGCUCGUGGUGUAUGGUGCAGACCCUGGAUCGCCUGACAUUAACGGACGCACACCUAUGGACUAUGCUAGGCAGGCGGGCCAUAUAGAGCUAGCAGAGCGUCUGGUAGAGUGUCAGUAUGAGCUGACGGACAGGUUAGCCUUCUACUUGUGCGGUCGGCGUCCAGAUCACAAGAAUGGCCACUAUAUCAUUCCUCAAAUGGCAGACAGAGCUCGUCCUAAGUGCCCGACACAGAGUCUGGACCUCUCAGAACUGGCCAAGGCUGCCAAGAAGAAGCUCCAAGCGCUCAACAAUCGGCUGUUUGAGGAGCUAGCAAUGGACGUCUAUGACGAGGUGGAUCGCAGAGAAAAUGAUGCAGUGUGGCUUACGACCCAGAACCACAGCACUCUGGUAACAGAACGCAGCGCAGUCCCUUUCCUACCAGUCAAUCCUGAAUACUCUGCAACCCGCAACCAGGGCCGCCAGAAGCUCGCCCGUUUCAACGCCCGGGAGUUUGCUACCCUCAUCAUCGACAUCUUGAGUGACGCCAAAAGGAGACAGCAGGGAAAAGGUCUUAGCCCUACUGACCCGCUGGACCUGGGCAUUGAUGAUGACCAGCACGACUACGACAGUGUAGCUUCUGACGAGGAUACAGACAGCGAGCUCACCACCCAGAACAACAACAACACACAACGUAGCAACCGUGCAAAGAGUAUGGACUCCUCAGACUUGUCAGAUGGUCCCAUCACCCUGCAGGAGUAUCUGGAGGUGAAGAAGGCUUUGGCCUCCUCAGAAGCUAAGGUGCAGCAGCUGAUGAAGGUUAACAACAACCUGAGCGAGGAGCUCCGGCGGCUCCAGAAGGAGAUCACCCGGAUGCAGACAGAGAACAGUGCGCUACGGAGGGGCCAGCAGGCUGGGGGAGCAGCUGGCCAUGGGGUAGGGGGACCUGGUGGAGGUGGGGGAACAGGAGGCCACUGGGCAGUGGGUGGGAUGCGAGGUGGAGUGGGUGGAUUUGGGCCAGGAGGGGACCCACCGGUGCUUUCGGUGCCCUCCUCGGCCACACCCCACUCCCACCCUCACCGGAGGGAACGCCAGGCCUUCUCAAUGUACGAGCCAGGGGCAGCCCCCGGCCCCACGGCCCAUGGUCCCCCAGUCCUGGACUCCCUGGCGCCCCGCCUGCAGCCCCUCAACACAGCCAGCUUCUCAGUCCUUCUCUUUCAAGAGAUCCAGUUGUGCACGAACCCAUUUUUAAGGGAAGUUUUGUUAUGGUUCAAAAAGAUUUGUUAUAUUGAGCUUUAUAACUGCAUAAAUGAUGGAGUGCAUACGUGUGACCUGAAGGAGAAAGAUGGGAAAGAAAAACAACAAAAAAUGACUGUUUCUUCUGUUCUGCUGCCUGGCAAAAGCCUCUGAUACACCGCUGCAUAGCCUGCUCUGCACACUUUGACCUUUUCAAACCCCUUUGACAUCUUUGCUGCUGGACAGUUGCUUAAUCUGGAAAUGCUGGGAUCACACACACAGAUGCACAGAAGUUCAUUUUUGUUUCACCGCCACUUUUAAGAAAAAAUAUAAUAAAAUUUAAAAAAAAAGUUUCUCAUAUUGCAGACAACCAGGUGAGCAGUUCAGCAGCAUUUAGUUUACAGCACGUUAAUAGAGCUACAGAAUGCAGACACAUCUCACCGCCGCACCAAGUUGGUGACUUUCUUCACACAAAGAUUUACCUGUUUGUCUGUUUUCUGUCUGUCUGUUUCUUCACCUGUCCGUUCGUUGCUCACUGCAGUGCAGCCGUGCAUCCUCUGGAUGUAAGGAAGGGCGGCUCAGGGAGUCCGUAUCUGUCUGGAUCUGCAGAGAU